rnacentral:rRNA from 1 species
CAUGCCGUAAACGAUGAGUGCUAGGUGUUGGAGGGUUUCCGCCCUUCAGUGCCGCAGCUAACGCAUUAAGCACUCCGCCUGGGGAGUACGACCGCAAGGUUGAAACUCAAAGGAAUUGACGGGGGCCCGCACAAGCGGUGGAGCAUGUGGUUUAAUUCGAAGCAACGCGAAGAACCUUACCAGGUCUUGACAUCCUUUGACCACUCUAGAGAUAGAGCUUUCCCUUCGGGGACAAAGUGACAGGUGG